UUCUCAGAAACGACCUUACCCUGUCCCCUUUCUCUCGUACGAAUAGUACAUCUAGGUGUCGAAAUCGCCUCUCUCCUCUCGUCCUUUCCCUCAAAUCAGACGGCUACGCUCAUCUUGCCGUUGGAGGAUAAGACGAAUUCGUACCAUUCCGUUUCAAACAUUAUCCCUUUAGGUUUUGGAUUUCAAAUUGGGACGUGGAGUCACGAUUUUACCCCAGCCCUUUCUCAUGAUUUCCUCCGCUCUCCACCUUUGAGAAAUGGCUAUAUAUAUUGCCAUUUCCUCACUGUUUGAAGGAAGGGGGAAAAAAUAGUUUCGAAAAAAAAAGGUUUUCUAUUUUCUUAGAACAGUUCUUAAAGAGAACAACUCGAGCUUUCCUUCGUCUUAAAGAUACAUUCAAGAUCGAAAGUUUGGUGCCUAUAGUGUUAUAACAUUUCCGGCUUAUUCUUCGAGCUUUGUCCGUGGUUCUCAUUCCGUUUAAGCUUUCUUAGUUGCUGUUUGGUAUCGACGCUUGCGUGGUGAGGACUGUCAUUCCCCUGCUCGUAUAAUCUCCAAGUUCGCUGCUCUUCGAAAGGUAAUGUUUGUCUCCUUCUAACGUGAUUUACUCUUAGUACGCAUUUAUUUGGUUUUCACUUGUGUAAGUAGACUAAUGCGUGAAUGUUUUUCGAUCGCUUCCUUCGUCUAUUUGAUGUACCCCAACCAGCAACCUCCUUUCUCUGUUUUGGGCCUUUGUUGUUGUUUAUUCUUGUUUGUUAGCAGCCUACUGAUCCUAUGCAGUUCCAGACUGUUCUUGUUCUUAUGGUACUUGUUUAGUGACAUAAGUGAUCCUUCCUUUCAUGUUGCAUCUCAUAUUGUAUUUGUUUGGGUUUUGUUUACUGACAUGGUAUGCUGUUCAUGUCAAGUUGAGGAAUUUCAUGCUCCGAAAGUAUGUGUGAAGUACCAUUCUUAUGGGAAUAAGACAUGAAUAGCUCAUACGCAGCAUUUGGUUUGAGAAGUAGGCUUAUUUGAUUUUGUUUACUCAUUUAUCCUUUGUUUCAAAGUGACUUAGCAAAGAUCUUUACCAAUUUUUGUUGUUUUUCUUCCUUCCUUUCUUUGCUUUAAGGGAACAAGUUUACCUUAGCCUUCAACUUUUCCUUGAACAUGAUAACAUAACUUCAUUAGAUUUCAUUAAAUAGAUCUAGCUAUGCUAAAGUAUGUGGUAUUUUAUUGGCUGUUUAUGUGGCCUGUUUUUCAAUCAAUGUUUUGGAUUUAUUGUUGGUUAAUGACUAUGCUCCCUCGGAAGAUUAUGUGUUAACAAAUGCAUAUGCAUAUGCCCUCAUUUGGUAUCGUAUUUGUUCAUUAAUUUUGCCACUUUAACUUGGUUCAUUUGGUUUUCCUUAAGAGUUGGUUAUUUUGGUUCAAUUCAAAACUCCUUAAGUGGCCUUUAUCCUAAUUAAGCUCCACAUCGUUUAAGUCAUGUCUCAUUUGUUCUAUGGUUUCGUUUACUAAUCCUUGUGAUCAUUUUUUUUGCAUAUGAAAUCCUCCUCUCGAGUCUGUUUUGGACUCCACUCCAACUCUUUGCAUUCUCUUGUUGAGCCGUAAAGGCUCAAUACAUAUUCCUCGAGUCGUAGACCCCCUCAAAACUGGCGUACAGGUUGAACACAAAAAAAUGCACUGCUGGAAAUUGAUUACAGGUUCAUCAGAAUAUGGAAAGUUGCUGUAAAAAAUAAUCUGCAUGUGUUGAAGAAGCUGUAUACCGGCUAUAUACAUAUGUUAUACACUGAUAUACAGGUUGAAAUGAGCACAGGAGGUCAAAUUCAAAACCUGGGUUGAUGGCAGUAAAAUGCGCUGCUGAAAAGGAAUUUUAAACUUUAAAAAGUUGAAAAACAGGCUUUUAUACAUACUGUAUACACUGAUAUACAGGCACGAUAUACUAUAAAUAGGUGUAAAAUAUGUGAAUUGCAGGUUAACGUACAGGGACGCUGAAUUUAAUUAAAAUACGGGAUUAGGCUGUAAAAAAUAAUCUGCAGGUGUUGAAGAAGCUGUAUACCGGCUAUAUACAUAUGUUAUACACUGAUAUACAGGUUGAAAUGAGCACAGGAGGUCAAAUUCAAAACCUGGGUUGAUGGCAGUAAAAUGCGCUGCUGAAAAGGAAUUUUAAACUUUAAAAAGUUGAAAAACAGGCUUUUAUACAUACUGUAUACACUGAUAUACAGGCACGAUAUACUAUAAAUAGGUGUAAAAUAUGUGAAUUGCAGGUUAACGUACAGGGACGCUGAAUUUAAUUAAAAUACGGGAUUAGGCUGUAAAAAAUAAUCUGCAGGUGUUGAAGAAGCUGUAUACCGGCUAUAUACAUAUGUUAUACACUGAUAUACAGGUUGAAAUGAGCACAGGAGGUCAAAUUCAAAACCUGGGUUGAUGGCAGUAAAAUGCGCUGCUGAAAAGGAAUUUUAAACUUUAAAAAGUUGAAAAACAGGCUUUUAUACAUACUGUAUACACUGAUAUACAGGCACGAUAUACUAUAAAUAGGUGUAAAAUAUGUGAAUUGCAGGUUAACGUACAGGGACGCUGAAUUUAAUUAAAAUACGGGAUUAGGCAAUGAAUACGUGCGUAGGGUACAGCCCGUAUACAGUGGUAUACAUUUUUGGGCAGCGAUAUACAUUUGUUAAACAGGCUAAAAAAUGAUACAGGUACAAAUACGCAGAGUAAUGUGGGAGAUACAGGGUGAAUAAGCGAUAAACGCGUAUUCAAACAAAUGCAGGGCUCAAAAAGUCCAAAAAUGAAUUGAAUAUACAUCGUAUACAGUAGUAUACAUCUUGUGUAUAUUCCUUAUUUCUUUUUUUUUUCCAGGGAAAUUGGGCCAGGGCUCUUUUCAGCAAAGUUUUUAAUAGGUCAAAGGCCAUUGUUUUGCAGGAUGUUUAAAUUGCUAAAGAGGGCCCAAUUAUUAGAAUUUAGGACAGAUAGGCCAAAGCCCAAUUGAAUGAAUUUGGGCAAUCAAACCCAAAUUCAAAUAAUUUUCCUCUUUCUUAUUGUUUGUUUGAGUUAAUUAAUUUUUGGUAGAAUUUUUAUAAUCUCCUAAAGGGUAGCCAUUUUUCCUUAUUUUAAA